UUAACGAUUUACUUUUUCGUAUACUGACAGAAGUUUACUUGUGGUUUGGGUUGUCGCCGAAGCGACGGGGAGGUUCACACUGGUUUGAAGUAACGAGUACCGGAACAAUUCUGUCCAUACUCCGGGCAGAACAUCGAGGAUCGCAUUAGAUCUCUCCCAAACGUAUGGACCAGAAGGUCCGGCAUUACCGGAACAAUCCACCUGAUACUCUGGGCCACGCUGAUCACUCUCCCGAACGUAUGGAACAGGAAGUCCGGCAUUACGUGCUUAGAGCCCGAUGGGCUGGUCCCCCUGGACCCGUGGUCCAGGGUUCUGUUGUUGGGGGGGUUUUUUUUAAUGAUCCUUCCGCAGGUUCACCUACGGAAA
rnacentral:misc_RNA from 1 species